AUUGAACGCUGGCGGCAGGCCUAACACAUGCAAGUCGAGCGGUAGCACAGAGAGCUUGCUCUCGGGUGACGAGCGGCGGACGGGUGAGUAAUGCCUGGGAAACUGCCUGAUGGAGGGGGAUAACUACUGGAAACGGUAGCUAAUACCGCAUAACGUCGCAAGACCAAAGUGGGGGACCUUCGGGCCUCAUGCCAUCAGAUGUGCCCAGAUGGGAUUAGCUAGUAGGUGGGGUAACGGCUCACCUAGGCGACGAUCCCUAGCUGGUCUGAGAGGAUGACCAGCCACACUGGAACUGAGACACGGUCCAGACUCCUACGGGAGGCAGCAGUGGGGAAUAUUGCACAAUGGGCGCAAGCCUGAUGCAGCCAUGCCGCGUGUGUGAAGAAGGCCUUCGGGUUGUAAAGCACUUUCAGCGGGGAGGAAGGCGUUAAGGUUAAUAACCUUGGCGAUUGACGUUACCCGCAGAAGAAGCACCGGCUAACUCCGUGCCAGCAGCCGCGGUAAUACGGAAGGUGCAAGCGUUAAUCGGAAUUACUGGGCGUAAAGCGCACGCAGGCGGUCUGUCAAGUCGGAUGUGAAAUCCCCGGGCUCAACCUGGGAACUGCAUUCGAAACUGGCAGGCUAGAGUCUUGUAGAGGGGGGUAGAAUUCCAGGUGUAGCGGUGAAAUGCGUAGAGAUCUGGAGGAAUACCGGUGGCGAAGGCGGCCCCCUGGACAAAGACUGACGCUCAGGUGCGAAAGCGUGGGGAGCAAACAGGAUUAGAUACCCUGGUAGUCCACGCCGUAAACGAUGUCGAUUUGGAGGUUGUGCCCUUGAGGCGUGGCUUCCGGAGCUAACGCGUUAAAUCGACCGCCUGGGGAGUACGGCCGCAAGGUUAAAACUCAAAUGAAUUGACGGGGGCCCGCACAAGCGGUGGAGCAUGUGGUUUAAUUCGAUGCAACGCGAAGAACCUUACCUGGUCUUGACAUCCACAGAACUUUCCAGAGAUGGAUUGGUGCCUUCGGGAACUGUGAGACAGGUGCUGCAUGGCUGUCGUCAGCUCGUGUUGUGAAAUGUUGGGUUAAGUCCCGCAACGAGCGCAACCCUUAUCCUUUGUUGCCAGCGGUUAGGCCGGGAACUCAAAGGAGACUGCCAGUGAUAAACUGGAGGAGGGUGGGGAUGACGUCAAGUCAUCAUGGCCCUUACGACCAGGGCUACACACGUGCUACAAUGGCAUAUACAAAGAGAAGCGACCUCGCGAGAGCAAGCGGACCUCAUAAAGUAUGUCGUAGUCCGGAUUGGAGUCUGCAACUCGACUUCAUGAAGUCGGAAUCGCUAGUAAUCGUAGAUCAGAAUGCUACGGUGAAUACGUUCCCGGGCCU
rnacentral:rRNA from 1 species